rnacentral:rRNA from 1 species
UACGAAGGGGGCUAGCGUUGUUCGGAAUUACUGGGCGUAAAGCGUGCGCAGGCGGCUUCUCAAGUCAGGGGUGAAAUCCCGGGGCUCAACCCCGGAACUGCCUUUGAUACUGGGUAUCUCGAGUCCGGAAGAGGUGAGUGGAAUUCCGAGUGUAGAGGUGAAAUUCGUAGAUAUUCGGAGGAACACCAGUGGCGAAGGCGGCUCACUGGUCCGGUACUGACGCUGAGGUGCGAAAGCGUGGGUAGCAAACAGG